rnacentral:rRNA from 1 species
ACGGAAGGCAGCAGUGGGGAAUAUUGCACAAUGGGCGAAAGCCUGAUGCAGCGACGCCGCGUGAGUGAAGAAGUAUUUCGGUAUGUAAAGCUCUAUCAGCAGGGAAGAAAAUGACAGUACCUGACUAAGAAGCCCCGGCUAACUACGUGCCAGCAGCCGCGGUAAUACGUAGGGGGCAAGCGUUAUCCGGAUUUACUGGGUGUAAAGGGAGCGCAGGUGGCAAGGCAAGCCAGAAGUGAAAACCCGGGGCUCAACCCCGCGGAUUGCUUUUGGAACUGUCUGGCUAGAGUGCAGGAGGGGCAGGCGGAAUUCCUAGUGUAGCGGUGAAAUGCGUAGAUAUUAGGAGGAACACCGGUGGCGAAGGCGGCCUGCUGGACUGUAACUGACACUGAGGCUCGAAAGCGUGGGGAGCAAACAGGAUUAGAUACCCUGGUA